GUGGGGAAUCUUCCGCAAUGGACGAAAGUCUGACGGAGCAACGCCGCGUGAGUGAAGAAGGUUUUCGGAUCGUAAAGCUCUUUCGUUAGGGACGAACGUGCUCUUUGUGAAUAAUGAGGAGUAAUGACGGUACCUAAAUAAGAAGCCACGGCUAACUACGUGCCAACAGCCGCGGUAAUACGUAGGUGGCAAGCGUUGUCCGGAAUUAUUGGGCGUAAAGCGCGCGCAGGCGGGAUAUCAAGUCUGUCUUAAAAGUGCGAGGCUCAACCUCGUGAGGGGACAGAAACUGGUAUUCUUGAGUGUCGGAGAGGAAAGUGGAAUUCCAAGUGUAGCGGUGAAAUGCGUAGAGAUUUGGAAGAACACCAGUGGCGAAGGCGACUUUCUGGACGAUGUCUGACGCUGAGGCGCGAAAGCUAGGGGAGCGAACGGGAUUAGAUACCCGGGUAGUCC
rnacentral:rRNA from 1 species